rnacentral:tRNA from 1 species
GGUGGUGUAGUUUAACGGUUAGAACAUCAGGUUUUCAACCUGAAGAAAGGAGUUCGAUUCUCCUCUCCACUGC